rnacentral:lncRNA from 1 species
CCAAAAGAAAAAGAAAUCAACAAAUAACAAGGACUAGUUAUUUUUUCUCUCUCGACGAGAAUUGGUUAGAUAACUAAGUAAAUUGUACUUGAACUGUCUCUUUUCUAGAUUUUAUGUAGACUGCUGUCUUCUCUCUCUGCCUGCAUUAUUACAUCAUCUGUGUAUGUCCUUUCUUCAUCUGAACAUACAUAUUCAUAACAAGUUACCACUCACAAGUCUAAAGAUAAUUUCCUGACUGAUUACAUUUUGCAUGGGCUCCUUCUUGAAUAAAGGGCACUUUGUCAUAAGUGAGCUAGCUUCCUCCAAAAUAGACUUCUGGGUAUGCAACUUCUCGGCCAUUUCGUGUGGAAACUGAUAACCAGUUUUUGUUUGAGUCCUCCACAGAACUCUUGUCCCUAAGUUGGGGGCUCACUUUACUUUUGCACCAGGAACCACCAACAUCCCAGCCUGCUCACCUCCACAGUGGUCCUGGGUUCCUGGCCUGGGCAGGCUUCCUCCACGUUCCUCACACCCUUCCCUUAUCUGUGGGGUGCCGUAGACAGAAUGCCUAGAGCCACAAUGCUUUUACAUAUCUCCAAAAACAGGUUUUCAUUUCUUUCAAAAUCAAAAGAAGGCCAGGGCAGGGCGCGGUGGCUUAUGCCUGUAAUCCCAGCACUUUGGGAGACUGAAGCAGGUGGAUCACUUGAGAUCAGGAGCUUGAGACUACCCUGGCCAACAUGGUGAAAUCCCACCUCUACUAAAAGUACAAAAAUUAGCUGGGCAUGGUGGCACGUGCCUGUAGUCCCAGCUACUUGGGAGGCAAAGGUUGCAAUGAGCUGAGAUCAUGCCACUGUCCUCCAGCCUGGGCAACAGAGUGAGACCUCAUCUCAAAAAAAAAAAAAAAGGAGGGGGGGCCAGGUGGCUCACACCUGUAAUCCCAGUGCUUUGGGAGGCCGAGGUGGGAGGAUCACUUGAGUCCAGGAGUUCAAGGUUGCAGUGGCACAAUCAGAACUCACUGUACUCCAGCCUGGGCAACAGAGAGAGCCUGUUUCUAAAAACUAAAAAAAAAAAAAAAAUUUGUUAACUCGGAGAACAAGUUUUAAUACAUAACAUUAAUAUAUUUAUCUGUAUACUAAUGCAGUUGUAAAAUAUAAUUUUUAAUACUUUUUUGUGGAAGAAGAGGUGCAUGAAGGCAAAGGAGUCUGGGGCUCAUGAAAACCUUUGAGUAAGAUGGGGUCAGGCCCUUCGACCUCUCCUUCUGGAGCCCAUAUAUUGUUUCGGGCUUGCUUUUCCUCCCUCAUCAUUUAGAGUGUUUAUUUAGAUUUCCUCUUUAACCUUUCUCAUUGUUCUGAAAGUACAGGAUAUGACGUGGCUCAGUGACUAGAAUGGACCUCUAUUAUUUCCAUUCCCAGAGUAUAAAUAUCCAAACUGCUUCAACCUGAUAGGAAUAGUCAAAAGCAGACAAUCAUCUCGGCUACUGCAGGCUUUCCUCUUUGGAACCCACCUAUGGUCAUCCUGUCAGUCUGACAUGAAUCUGGUCACUGGGGUAGGUGCUGUUCCAAGGCCCAAACUUUGCUGGCAGGAACAGACUAAAGAACUGAGCAGCGCUGACGCUGCUGUCACUGCAUGCCACAUCCUCUUCACGGCCCUCGAUACCCUGGGGACACUGACACCAGAGGAAGUUUUAAAAACAGCCUGUGUCUGAAUUAUCCAAGAACAAACAGAAAAGACUUGCUUGGCUAAAAUCAACAGGGUUUGAUGUUACAACUGCAGUUGAAAGGCUUAAAUCGGUUCUCUUUAAAGCAGCAGGCACCCCCAGACAUCUUAUGGGUGAUUCCUUUUCUUUUCUGUAACGCAUUCGAACAAAACUCAGGUAACUUUAGAAGGUAUAUGAUAUGCAAAUUUAUAGACCUUCCAGUUGUUUCCAUCUGAGUCCCCUUUUCAGGCUUUUUAUCUCUGCUUCCCCUUGCUCCCCAAUCAGGAUCCUCUCCUCUCAGCUCUUCUUUCCCAUUCCACUCUCCUAAAUGCAAUCACAGGAUGAGUCAAGGGGAAGCAAAAUAAAUACUGCAGCUGCUUUCUCUCUUUGUUUUUACAGAAAAGUCUGUGUGGCUGCUUUUGAAGAAGAAAGCUGCUUUCGAUUAUGUAAGAUGAUGCUCUCUUUGGUAAAAGUUUUGGUCUGGUCUCAAGAGACUUGGCUUUUUUUUUUUUUCUUUUUGAGACGGAGUCUUGCUCUGUUGCCCAGGCUGGAGUGCAGUGGCAUGAUCUCGGCUUGCUGCGACCUCCACCUCCCAGGUUCAAGCAAUUCUCCUGCUUCAGCCUCCCGAGUAGCUGGGAUUACAGGCUCACAAUACCACACCCAGCUAAUUUUUGUAUUUUUAGUAGAGACGGGGUUUCACCAUGAUGACCAGGCUGGUCUUGAACUCCUGACCUCAGGUG